CGGAUUACUGAUGAUUGUCAGGUGUGUCUAAUGAGGACCGGUGGUGACAGGAAAAACACAGCUGUGGUGUGAGUGUGGCAGGAAGUCCUUUAAAAUAAAACCAGAGAUCAGAACCAAAACAUGACAGACAGGAAGGUCUUCAAAAUAAAACCGGAGCAGGACCAGAAACUGCGAAGUUGUGUUGGUUGAUCCCUUUGGAGCCACAGAAACAAAAAUAAAACACUGCAAAGACAAAACAAGGUAGGACUAAUUCGUUUAUCUGUAAAAAACUUCUGACAUUGUAAAAGAAAUAAACACUGUAAAACAAUGUAUUAGGGCCUUUUUAUGAAAAAAAACCUUCCACAUAUCAAGAUGGACAUGUCGCACCGUCUCCCAUCCACGUCAGCAAGACUCAACAUCGUGUAGAGUGUUUGUGUGCAAAGUAAGAUAAUAAACUUCUCUAUAUGCUGUAUUGAAAACUGGAAUGUGAUUGCAGUGACGUUUGAAUUUAAGAUUGCAGAGCAAUUGCUGUUGGGUCAGCAGAUUGACUUUGAAGUCAAUAAAUAUGCUGUUGAUCAACUGCGACUGGAAAUGGCAACAAAGUUAAUUGAGAGCUCAGACAACCUCAUGGAUCUCUGCCAUGCCUGUGGGAAAAGACACACCUCUUACGCUGUUGUGGACAAUUAAAUUGAAUGCACAACCUGCUUCAACUGGUUUCACUUACUCUGUGUUGGGAAGCCCAACACAGAAGAAGAUUAUUUCUGUCCAGCCUGCACAGAAUAAAAUUCUCCUUGCACACUCUCGAUGGUUGAAGCCUUAUGGCUCCAUUGAUUACAAAUGGAUGUGAAUGAGUCUGUAUUAUGUGAAUUGUUGGGCAACAUACAGGUAUCAUCGGACUCAGCUAUGUAUCUGUGAUGGGCAGCUGCAGAUCCAACCAUCGUGCCUGUGUCCAGUCCCUGGUCCAACCAUCCUGCC